GUAGCAUUUUCUCCAUGAGUAUGUGGAAAUUCCUUCUCAUAAGAUUCUCCAAGGAUGUCCUCACUCAUCCCAGUUAGCUAAUACCGAAGUGAAAUGGUGCUGAAGGCUUCUAAUUUCACAUGGAAAAGGACGCUAGUGUCUGAAUUGUUGUGAUGGUGAUAUGGCUUGUUCAUUUUUUCCUUACUUCUUCUUUGCUAGCUUUCUAGUUGAAUGGAAUUGCUCCUUAUCUCCUUCUGACUGUGGGAAAAUGCAAAAGCUUGAGCUGCGAUAAUAGAAGUCCAUUGGUUUCUUCUUUCACUAGGAGUUAUCGGGCUCUGACAUUGUGGUUACGAACUCUUUGCUAGUCGACUGUUGCCCGCACCAAUGCGAAAUUCAGAGUACAGAGCUGAUUGAAUCUGACAGCAUGGAGACUGCUUUGGCCAACUUAUUGUCUGUUCCUUAGCUUUUCAACGUUUUUCUUUUCUCAGGUUGGGCAAGAAGGUUGGUCCACGAUUGAGCCAUGCCCUUGAUCGCUGGUGCUGCAUUGUUCCAUCGUGGAGUCUCUCCCGGAUUCGCCUGCAAAAAGAGACGCUCGGCUCCCUCUUAAACUGAGAGCUCGUGUAGAAAGAAAAUGGAGAGAAGAGAGAAAGAAAAAGAUCUGAUUUUGGAGAUCACUAACAUCUCCUACUAAACAAAAAAUAUAGCAGGUAUAAUACCGUUUUCUGUGGAGAUUACCUGCUUCCAUUAGUAUUUUCAGUUUGGACGGGGCUUUUCUUUGAUACGAUAUUAUUUUCCUGUCUUAAUUCCAGCAACCGGAGGAAGUUGUUUGAGCAAAGUAAUUGUAAUGCUUCAGUUUUAUUUGGCUCGUGAUCAUGAUAUGAAUAAAAAAGGUCAGAAUGCCUGCAAAAGGAUAUUUGAUGUCUUCAGUCAAAUAGUACGA